AAGUAUCUUAUAUGAGAAAUAACAAUAGAAAAACAAAAAAAUAAAAGCGGCCAUUUCCAUUUUCCUUUUUUUGUUGUUGUUGUUGUUGGUUCAAUCUCGUAUCUUAUAAUACGUCAUAUAUAUUCUAGUUUAAUGCUAUUUGAUAGAUUGGUGAUAUUGCCGGCCCAGUGGAGCCAAUACUUUGAUGGGAUUACACAUACGUACGUACCGGUACGUGUACGACAGUUGCAAAGUAUAAAAAAGAAUUUCUCGAAAUGUUAAUGGAAUGUUGACGUGUUGAAUAGGUCGCCUAAUCACCCCCCACCCAAAGAAAGAACCACUCGUCAGGUCUAUUAAGGUUAUUAGUUUUAUUUUUAUAUUUGGAUAGCCCCACCCCAUUUCUCCCUCCCCACCCCCAUAUCGAUUUCAGAAUAGACUGGCGAUGACGGCUGGUUACCUAACUGCUGCGACUGGCUGAUGGACGUGCUGAAAUUUUUAUUUUUAUUAUUUCCGAACCCCAGUCGUAAUUUUAGCAUUUAGGCUCUUUCUAUAUUUAUUUAUUAUUUUUUUCCCGCGGUCGAUAAUCACGUAACAUUCGGCCGUGACGAUGUCCGCACCUUUUUCGGUAUUACACGAGAGAUAGAGAGAGAGAGGUGGGGGCAGAUAUCUAAUAACCAGAGAGGAAGAAAUGAUUUACACGUCAAAAGAGGAGGACGUUGUAAAACAUUCACGGCGGCUUCUACACACACACAUCUUCUUCUUCUUCUUCUUCACAAUUCUCUUUUGUGCAUAAAUAAUUCGUCGUGAGGAGAAGACGAAAAAAAAAAGUUGUUUAUUUUUUCUACCAUCCGGAUAGAGCCCCUCGAGGGUCUGUAAUAUACAGCCUUCAGAAUUUGAUUGUAUUUACUACCACUCGAUAUUAUUGUCUAGGGAUUAUUAUAUUAUAUCGUUGGUCUCUCUCUAAUCGGAUUUGUCAAUAGAGGUGAAACUAUUCUCUAUAAUUGUGUGUCUAGAAAAAACUUUUGUUUGUUUGUUUGUUUGGUUCUCAAGUGAUUAUAUUCUCCAACCAACUUUUUUUUAUUAUUAUUAUUAUUUUCCGGAAGAUAAAAUACGGAAACCUAAAAGUUUCACUUUUGCUUUAUCCUUUUCUCUUAUUAAUAAUCUCACAGAAAUAACGAAACUUUUUUUUCCGGGAAAGAAAAAAAAAAUCCUUCCGGCUUAACAUCUACUCCGCACUUUUAUGUUGAAUGGAGAUGGCGCUGGGAUCGGAAAGCGCGUGAUCCGCCCGCGGAAUACAACAACACCAAUCAAUCCCGCGGCCUCGUAUCGUAUCAUCACAUACGCACCUCUCUAUAUAUGUACGCGAUUGUUCUAUAGGAGCUUCAAUCCGGUCCGGUUGUUUUUCGUUCCCGUUGACCGCCGAUGGCGGCAGCCACUCUCUAUACAGUUGCGCCGAUGGAAUACGUAAGAGCGGCACCCCUUUCUCUCUCAUCCAGCUCAUUACACAGGAAAAAAGAAAAAGAAAAAAAGGUUUUAUUUAGAAUUUUCUAUCCGUUAAAAAUAAAAUAAAAAAAAGGUCAUUACCAUCAUCAUAAAUCCGCCAUUAGAGACGGACAGGAGAAUCGCUCAUCAUUCCCGGCACAUACUACACACACUCCAUGUAUACUACCACCCCUAUAUAUAUUCUCACAUUUCCCGUUUGGUCUCUUCUAUAACAAACGGCUCUCGGUUCUCUGUAGAGAUAAAUAAAUGCAUGAGCCUUUUGGAUUAAAGUUCAGCCCUUUUUCAGUGAUGUGAUGAUAUUCUCAGCAGCAGCAGCAACAGCAGCAGGGCCAUAAUUGGCUAAUUUUAUGUUUGGAAUUGCCCAUAACUGGAUCGCCGUGUAAUAACAAAUGGUGAAAAGAAUAUCAAAUCAUUUUUUCUUCUUCUUUUUCUAACCGGUUGGAAGAUUUUUGUGAGCCGACGACGACGACAGGCUGGCACAAGUGAAGAGCCGAGAUGUUUGCGAGAGUCAUUCAUCAGUUUCAAAUGUCUUAGACCGGCGCUGCUGACAGCAGCCAAGACAACACACGAGAAAGGCUUAUAGACGACAGCGGGAAUCUGCGCCGUGAGCCGCCAGCAAAUCAAGAAAAAGGAAGAAAACAAAAAAUGUUGUUAUCGAUCGAAUAUGUGACGUCCAGCUCUUUUCUUUUCCCCCUGGACAAUGGACAGUCGACACUUUAUUUUUUGGGCUAUUCAAAACGCGUACGUUACACAACGAUUAGACCGUGUAGAGAGACAAUCCCGCGUGAGUUACGGUCGAUUCAUCAUCCCAGCGCAGAUUUUUAUACAAGGGGAAAACCGACAACAACAACAACAACAGCACACCGGUUAAGGAUUUAAUUUCGCCCAUAUCCAGUUGGGUUGUGUUAAGUGUCUGCCGUUGAAAAUCGCCUCGCCUAUAAUAGUAGCAGCUUAAUAGUUAUAUUCUUCAACAAAAUGUUGGCUGGCUGCUGCAGUGCUGCUGCCUUUUGGUUUUUCUCUCUCAUUUGCAUCAGCCAACUGUGGCCGAUUAUUGGCCGGUUGCCAACUCGAAUCAUUUUCUAUUCACCAACUUGUUAAAAAUUUUGGUUUGAGCUCUUUUGUGUUAUUUAAUCCAAUAGGAUUCCGUGUCCAUGUCGCAUUGAAAAUCACCACAGACGCAUCUUCUUCUUCUUCUUUAUAAGGACAUUUCACAUUUUGUUUUGGUUUUCCUGGAUGUGGGGGGGAUAGUAUCGACCUUAAAACCCCCCGUUGUUUUAAAAAAAAAAUAUUCUUCUUCACAUUUUUGGGAACAUAUGGAAAAAGUCGUUUGAAUAUUUUGUCCAUGUUAUUGUAGAGCUCGGGAUUGGGUUGAAAUUUCAAAAAAAGUACCGAGAAAUCUCUUUUGUGUCCAGCCAACAGCUCCAACAACAAAUUGUUCGCAUGUGUAGACUCAUUAAUCAUCGUGAAUAAUAAUGAUUAGUUCAAAAGAAAAACCAGACUGUUUUUCGUUCCAUGUUAUAGCCUUCUGGGUGGGUUUAGUACAUAAUAAUGGCUGACGUGUGUUGUCUAUGCCACACGAUCGAUAAUUUCCCCGCUGGCUCUUUUUUUUUGCUAUUAAAAAUCAAAAUGAAUUAGGAUAAAGCUAGCUGGGCUCCUUUUGGUUAAAAAUGUCCUUUUUAAGAUUUCGUCUGGAAUUUCGUGUAAUUUUCCAAACAAAACGGGACCCCGAAAUUUGUUCUUAUAUAGUCGCAAUAAACAGUCUCGUUUUUGAAAGUUUAACCGGUUGCGCGCAUCAGCAGUUGAAUAUAACGAAAUAAAAUUGUAUAGGACACGUAGGGCGGGUACACACACAACCUUUAGACUGCUACGACUAUACGUAGGAAUGUGUUAUUCCACCACGACAUUUUCGAAACGGCCAUGCCAGGAGAUUGUUGGAUCAUCCAGCUGAGAGAAACGACGUCUGAGCACCAGCACCGGGUAGGAAACAAAAUAUAAGAAGAGGUCUUGUUUAUAGCGCUUGAGGCGCCCAUUGAUAUAAAUCAGUAUUCCAAUGACUCGGGUAAGAUCCUUCCAUGAAAAAUAAGAAAAAAUCCCCUCCGACUAAAUCAACAAGGAAAAAGCUAAGAAAGAAAAGAACGAACGAAAAGUUUGUGUGUUUUUAGUAUUAUUUCCCCCCCAUUUUUGGGGGCGACUUGUGCGCGCUGGCUGCUGGCUGCUGUGCUCCAUUCGACAUGGAAUCUAAUUUUCUAUUUAAAAAUAUACAAAAAGAUAUGGUGGGCCCUCGGGAGGUCGCUACUGACCGAAAUUUUUUUGUUUCUUGGUGCUCUAUGGCAUCUCUCUCUUUCUCCCUGUGCUAGACUCGUGUAUUUAUUUGUUGGGCCCCCAGGCGCAUUUUUCGUGCAAUCUCAACAAACGUGAGUCAAUAUUACGUUGCGUCUUUUUAAUAUAAAAGAAAAAGAAAAAAAAGAUUUUAUUUUAUUUUUUCCUAGAAACUUUUUUUUUUAUUUUUUUUAUUUGCAUUCCCCUCCUUUCCCUUUUUUGGAGGGGCCCCGUUUUGUUUAUCUUCUCUCCCACACGCAUUUUCAAUGAUACAAUCACAACAACAAC